rnacentral:rRNA from 1 species
GUAAUGCUUGGGAACAUGCCUUUAGGUGGGGGACAACCAUUGGAAACGAUGGCUAAUACCGCAUAAUGUCUACGGACCAAAGGGGGCUUCGGCUCUCGCCUUUAGAUUGGCCCAAGUGGGAUUAGCUAGUUGGUGAGGUAAUGGCUCACCAAGGCAACGAUCCCUAGCUGGUUUGAGAGGAUGAUCAGCCACACUGGAACUGAGACACGGUCCAGACUCCUACGGGAGGCAGCAGUGGGGAAUAUUGCACAAUGGGCGCAAGCCUGAUGCAGCCAUGCCGCGUGUGUGAAGAAGGCCUUCGGGUUGUAAAGCACUUUCAGUUGUGAGGAAAGGUUAGUAGUUAAUACCUGCUAGCUGUGACGUUAGCAACAGAAGAAGCACCGGCUAACUCCGUGCCAGCAGCCGCGGUAAUACGGAGGGUGCGAGCGUUAAUCGGAAUUACUGGGCGUAAAGCGUACGCAGGCGGUUUGUUAAGCGAGAUGUGAAAGCCCCGGGCUCAACCUGGGAACUGCAUUUCGAACUGGCNAACUAGAGUGUGAUAGAGGGUGGUAGAAUUUCAGGUGUAGCGGUGAAAUGCGUAGAGAUCUGAAGGAAUACCGAUGGCGAAGGCAGCCACCUGGGUCAACACUGACGCUCAUGUACGAAAGCGUGGGGAGCAAACGGGAUUAGAUACCCCGGUAGUCCACGCCGUAAACGAUGUCUACUAGGAGUUCGGUUUUUCGGAACUGUCUUUCCAAAGCUAACGCAUUAAGUAGACCGCCUGGGGAGUACGGCCGCAAGGUUAAAACUCAAAUGAAUUGACGGGGGGCCCGCACAAGCGGUGGAGCAUGUGGUUUUAAUUCGAUGCAACGCG